rnacentral:rRNA from 1 species
AACGAACGCUGGCGGCAGGCCUAACACAUGCAAGUCGAGCGCGCCUUCGGGUGAGCGGCGGACGGGUGAGUACCGCGUGGGAAUAUGCCCUUCUCUACGGAAUAGUCCUGGGAAACUGGGGGUAAUACCGUAUACGCCCUUUGGGGGAAAGAUUUAUCGGGGAAGGAUUAGCCCGCGUUGGAUUAGGUAGUUGGUGGGGUAAUGGCCUACCAAGCCGACGAUCCAUAGCUGGUUUGAGAGGAUGAUCAGCCACACUGGGACUGAGACACGGCCCAGACUCCUACGGGAGGCAGCAGUGGGGAAUCUUAGACAAUGGGGGCAACCCUGAUCUAGCCAUGCCGCGUGAGUGAUGAAGGCCUUAGGGUUGUAAAGCUCUUUCAGCUGGGAAGAUAAUGACGGUACCAGCAGAAGAAGCCCCGGCUAACUCCGUG